rfam:Spinacia oleracea cultivar SynViroflay scaffold57554.con0001.1, whole genome shotgun sequence.
GUUUCCAUGGUGAGGGCACUCCCUUUAAUACUCUUUGAACCUAUCCCAUGCUUCAAAUAGAGACUCAUCCCGCUUUUUUCUCAAAAGAUUGGAUCUUAUGACGGUAUUC